GGUGCUGCAUGGCUGUCGUCAGCUCGUGUCGUGAGAUGUUGGGUUAAGUCCCGCAACGAGCGCAACCCUUGUCAUUAGUUGCUACGAAAGGGCACUCUAAUGAGACUGCCGGUGACAAACCGGAGGAAGGUGGGGAUGACGUCAAGUCCUCAUGGCCCUUAUAGGUGGGGCUACACACGUCAUACAAUGGCCGGUACAAAGGGUCGCAAACCCGCGAGGGGGAGCCAAUCCAUCAAAGCCGGUCGUAGUCCGGAUCGCAGUCUGCAACUCGACUGCGUGAAGUCGGAAUCGCUAGUAAUCGUGGAUCAGCAUGUCACGGUGAAUACGUUCCCGGGUCUU
rnacentral:rRNA from 1 species